AUCGAGUCAAACCGACACAAUCACGUACCACGGCCAAAGGAAACACGCGACGGGAUUGUCCUACUGCGACUGAGUGUUCAGUUGUUCACAGCGGGAUAAGCCCUGAAGGAUAAGAGAAUAAUAAUACAUCAAUAGUAAUACCUUGAGGGAUGCAUAAUCCAAACCGGGUUGUAUCAACCAAACGGCCAAAAUAUAUAACCUACAACCCACUACCGAAUAGGAUAUUUUCACAAAGAAAAAGCCAGAGUUAUGACAAAGAAUGAGAUAAGCAGUUUUUGUCAUUUUGUUGACAGAAGAUGAGGUAAAAAUACGAUAAAACAGAAUUUUCGUUUUGUGUUUUCCUAUCCGCACACUAAGCAUAGAACUUCAAACGGUUAUUUGACGCACCUAGUCUGUAGCACGCAGAAUUCUCAUUUGUUUUAUUUUAUCCUAUCAUUUGCUCCUGUUCUAUUACCUUCUUUUAAAUAAAAAAUAUGCAAAGCAC